AAGUCGUAACAAGGUUUCCGUAGGUGAACCUGCGGAAGGAUCAUUACUGAGAACCAUGCCCCUUGGGGUAUAUCUCCCACCCUUUGUUUACAAUACCUUUGUUGCUUUGGCGGGCCCGUCUUAUGACCACUGGCGUUAGCUUGUCUGUGCCUGCCAAAGGCCCUAAAACUCUUUAUUGUAUUGUCAGAGUACUAUAUUAAUAGUUAAAAACUUUCAACAACGGAUCUCUUGGUUCUG
rnacentral:misc_RNA from 1 species